UACGUAGGGUGCAAGCGUUGUCCGGAAUUAUUGGGCGUAAAGCGCGCGUAGGCGGCCUGGUAAGUCCGCUGUGAAAGUCAAAGGCUCAACCUUUGAAUGUCAGCGGAUACUGCCAGGCUAGAGUCCGGAAGAGGCGAGUGGAAUUCCUGGUGUAGCGGUGGAAUGCGCAGAUAUCAGGAGGAACACCAACGGCGAAGGCAGCUCGCUGGGACGGUACUGACGCUGAGGAGCGAAAGCGUGGGGAGCGAACAGG
rnacentral:rRNA from 1 species